rnacentral:lncRNA from 1 species
CUGUUCCUCCCCGCCGCCUUCCCGGUCCAACGAAAGUACAGAGAAGUGCGGCCGAAAGGAGACGGGCUGGGGAAGUCGUUGGCACUAGGAUGGAAGGAGGGAGGACGUUUUCUCGUGGCUAAGAAAAGCCGAAGAUGGAAAAUCGCCGGCUGCUGUGGAAACGCUUGCCUUUCCGCCUGGUUUGGGAUAUCAGAGAAGGUUUUUCUGAAGAAGUGACAUUUAAGAUGAGACUUGAAACCACUGGGCAAAGAAUGAUACAAGCAGAGGAAGUUAUGUGAAAAGGCUCCGAAGCUGAGACGUUCUAAAAAUCUCUGAAAGCUAGUGUGGCUGGCCCUCAGACAACUGAGGCAGGAUGUGGAAGCAGAGGACAGAUGCCAUAGAACAGAAGAAGGAAUGGGAAGCCCUAGGAGGAUUUCAAGUGGGUUGUAUCCUUUUUUUUUCUUUUUUUCACUUCAUGUAGCCUAUUAUUAUAUGGUCUUCAUUCAAAAAAGCCACCAUUUUUCUGCAUGUUACUCUUGAGACUGUAGCAUUUCUGCAUAAUACUAUUGAGAGUGUAACAUAAUUCCAUUGUUAGACCAUGAAAUUGCUUCUGAUUUUCACUCCAAUAAGAAUAAUGCAAAUUCCACUCCUAAAUAUAUACCCAAGAGAAAGGAAAAUAUUUGUCCAUGCAAAAACUUUUUUACAAACGUUAGCAUUAUUCAUAAUAGCCAAAGAUGAAACAACCUAAAUGUUCAUCAGCUGGCGCCUGUAUAAAUCAAAUGUGAUACAUCUAUGUACAAUCAAAUUUUUAUUUUUAAGAGAUGGGGUCUGGCUCCGUGGCGCAGAUGGGGGUGCCAUGAGACUUCCUAUGUUGUCCAGGCUGGUCUCAAACUCCUGGCCUCUAGCAAUUCUCCCUCCUUAGCCUGAAAGUGAUGGGAUUACAGGCAUGAGCCGUCACACCGACCUAUACAAUGGAAUCUUAUUGGGCCAUAAAAAGAAAAUACUAAUACAUGCUAUAACAUGCAUAACCUUUGAAAGCAGUAUGCUAAAUGAAAGAAGCCAGUCACAAAAGACCACAUAUUAUAUGAUUCCACUUACGUGAAUGUCCAGAAUAGGCAAAUAUAUAGAGACAGAAAGUAAGGAAGUGGUUGCUUAGGGCUAGGGGCAGGCAUGGGAUUAGGGGAUGAUAGUUAAAUGAUAUGGGGGUUUCUUUCUUUUUUUCUUUUCUUUUUUUCUUUUUUUUUUUUUUGGAAACAGGGCCUUGCUCUGUCCCCCAGGCUGCAGGCUGGAGUGCAAUGGUGUGAACAUGACUCACUGUAGCCUUGACCUCCAGGAUCAAGCAAUCCUCCUGCCUCAGCCUCCUGUGUAGCUGGAACCACAGGCGCAUGCCUCCAUGCCCAACUGAUUUUUUGAAGGUUUCUUUUUGAGGUGAGAAAAAUGUUCUGAGAUUGAUUGUGUUGAUGGUUGCGCAACUGUGAAUAUUUAGGUUGAGUAUUAUCCAAAAUAUUUGAGACCAGAAGUAUUUUGAAUUUUAAACUUUUUUUUCAGUUUUGGAAAUGUUUGCAUUAAAUUAUAUACUUACUGGUUGAGCAACCUAGUCUGAAAAUCCAAAAUGAGCAUUUCCUCUGAGUGUCAUGUUGGCACUCAAAAAGCUUUGGAUUUUGGAGCAUUUCAGAUUUUUGUAUCAGGG